ensembl:lncRNA uncharacterized LOC115619374
AGUGGGGCCGGGGAAUGGCGGCCGCGGGGUGUCUCGGUGCGGUCGGUGUGUUGAGUUGCCGGCGCGGGCAGCCGGUGCGGCGGGGCGGGGCGGGGAGGGCCGGGCCGGUCCGGGCCCGACCCGCGCACCACAGCCACCCCACACCGCGUUGGAGGAACGUGGUGGAGUUUUGCCUUCCGUUCAGAGUGGAAAACAAAUUCAGUCACAGAAAUCACAGAUAUGUGCUCCAGAGAAGCAUCAUAAAACCUGUGCACCAGUUAGCCAGAUGUUGGUGCAAAGAGAACUGAAUGAAAUGACUUGUUACAGAAGAGCCAUCAGCAGUACAGUAUCUUUCCACUGAAGGAAAUGGAAAUACAGUAAGGGCAAAAAUGAUGCUGGUAAUUUUUGAUAAUCAUCUCAAGACCUUCCUAGUCCAUUUUUCCUUACUCUGAUUGAAUUUAUGUUGUAGUCUGGACAUGCCGCAUAAGGGCACAAUCAUUACUCUGUGUUGCUUCUAAGCAGGUCUUUCCCACCGUCAGUUCUCUGGCAGCUGAUUGUUGUUUCCCCUGGACGUCAGAUUCCCUUCUCCACUCUUUCAGCAUAGAUCUGAUGCCAGCAGUGUAACUGAAUGCCAGGCCAAAGAGAUGGCUGAUGUCCCACCUGGGUACUGCUUGUGUUAACCUGAUCUAUUGGAAAAAACCUCCCAGGGAAUUAUCCAGCCUAUUUCUUGGAAGGUAUUCACACUCCUGCUGUAAACCUGAAGGCAGGGAAUAACUCUGUAAAACAGAAUGGUUUUUAAAAUUAUUUAAAACUGCCUGGAGAACAGAAUCCCAUUUUUCUGAACUCCAGGCUACCAAUGUGUUACCAAAACUGUCUAGACAUGCUAAAGUUGGAUUUCGAUAACGUAAAGUCUUGCAGAGUCUUUUCUAAUCAAUUUCCAACCUCCUUUAUGAUUUUUUUUCCCCCUCACUCUCUUACAGUAACUGUUGCUGCAUCUGCAUUGUUCUGCAGCUAGUGCCGUUGUCAGGUUAGGGAGUAGCUGGAAGAAUCGAUGACAGCCUCUGCUCCAGAUGACCUGUUCUUUCCUCUGCUGUUCUGAAAUAGAUCUCCAAGGCUAGCAGCUGGGUUGUGAAACUCCAGUUUGUAAAUUGUGAUUUAAAAUGGAAAAGAAAAAAAAGUUUAUGCACAUGGAAGAAAUGCCAAGCACUGGGUAAUUUGGAACAUAAAUCAUUAGGCUUGGACCUUUAUGUUUAAUUUUAUACUCUAUUUGUGAGAAAAAAAAUUAAAAUAGUUUUGAAGCAUGUUAUAUUUCUGGAUGUCUGGUAGAAAAGCUUCAUUUUCCCUGGAAAUAGGGAACAAGAGAGAGCUUAGUGCACAUAUAGUAACUUGCAAUGUGACAUUGCUUGCAUAAAUGAAAGAUGUAUGUUCUGCUCUGAGCGGUUGUCAGCUGACAUUCAUCCAUUUCAGUGAAGAUCCUGGACAAUCCCCCAAAAAUACUGGGACUUAUGCAAGGAGCCUUUCUUUUCUGUAGGCAAGAAAACUGAGCUGCAGUAACAGAGAACUACAAUAGUUAGGAGAAGGAAAGCAUGUAGAUCCUUGGAGAAGAAAAAAUGAAAAAAACCCUAAAAUGUUUUGUAUUUCCCUGACUUAAAAAAUUCACACAAAUUCUCUUUGUAUGUAGGGCCUCCCAUCAUUCCGAGGAGGUGAGUCUGUUUCAGAGCUGUUAGCCAGCUUUGAUGGUAGGAAAGAAUUCUCAGAGUCUUUUACUGUCUCCACAACAUCCAUCAUGGUCUAUUAAUGUAUGGGAUAAAACAGAAGGAGUCUAAGGCUCCACUGAUGAAAGUGAUGAGCUAGUUCACCAGAGAGCAGCUAGAAAGAAAAUUUCAGUGAGCUUUUCUCUGAGAAGCACUGUGAAUUGACAUGGAGUAUACUCAGGACAUUUACACCAGCAGUGCCUGUGACUCAGGGUUUAGUUCAUUGAUGUUAGAAUUGAAGUUGAGUUAGGAGAAUGGCUCCAUCACCCUCUCAUAGGACACCAUGGGAAAGCAGGUGAACUUGGUAUAUUUUAUGUUAUACAAAGAGUAGCAAUCUCCAAGAAUUCAUUAAUUGAUGGCCUAAAGGCUAUGAAGAAAAACAUUACAUCAUAAUUCCCAGAGCAACAGCUGAGGUUAUGAUUGUGCAAAAAAUAAAUUCUAUGAAUUCCAAAACUAAUGUCAGAUUUGGCUUUCAAGAGCUGAUUUUCCCCAGC